rnacentral:rRNA from 1 species
CACGUAGGGUGCAAGCGUUGUCCGGAAUCAUUGGGCGUAAAGAGCUCGUAGGCGGCUUAGUAAGUCGGGUGUGAAAACCCCAGGCUCAACCUGGGGACGCCACCCGAUACUGCUAUAGCUAGAGUCCAGUAGGGGAGUGUGGAAUUCCCAGUGUAGCGGUGAAAUGCGCAGAUAUUGGGAGGAACACCAGCGGCGAAGGCGGCACUCUGGGCUGGUACUGACGCUGAGAAGCGAAAGCGUGGGUAGCGAACAGG